UACAGAGGGGGCAAGCGUAAUCGGAUUUACUGGGCGUAAAGCGCGCGUAGGCGGCUAAUUAAGUCAAAUGUGAAAUCCCCGAGCUUAACUUGGGAAUUGCAUUCGAUACUGGUUAGCUAGAGUGUGGGAGAGGAUGGUAGAAUUCCAGGUGUAGCGGUGAAAUGCGUAGAGAUCUGGAGGAAUACCGAUGGCGAAGGCAGCCAUCUGGCCUAACACUGACGCUGAGGUGCGAAAGCAUGGGGAGCAAACAGG
rnacentral:rRNA from 1 species